rnacentral:rRNA from 1 species
GAUUGAACGCUGGCGGCAUGCCUUACACAUGCAAGUCGAACGGCAGCACAGGGGCAACCUUGGUGGCGAGUGGCGAACGGGUGAGUAAAGCAUCGGAACGUACCUGUUAGUGGGGGAUAGCUCGGCGAAAGCCGGAUUAAUACCGCAUACGACCUACGGGUGAAAGCGGGGGAUCGCAAGACCUCGCGCUAUCGGAGCGGCCGAUGUCAGAUUAGGUUGUUGGUGGGGUAAAGGCCUACCAAGCCGACGAUCUGUAGCUGGUCUGAGAGGACGACCAGCCACACUGGGACUGAGACACGGCCCAGACUCCUACGGGAGGCAGCAGUGGGGAAUUUUGGACAAUGGGCGAAAGCCUGAUCCAGCCAUGCCGCGUGCGGGAAGAAGGCCU